AUGACGAUAUCACAAUAUGGAGAGUUUUUUUUAUUACGACACCAAGAAUCAAAAUUAGAUUUGAAGAGUGUUAUGAGUGUGAAACUUACCAAUCGGAGAUGCUCCGAUGGCGCUUCGAAGCUGCAAAUAUCGGAAGCAGAAAUCUGUAGAACCUUUAACAACCUCAGGUACUUCUUUAUGCUUAAAAUCUUUCACUCUCUUCUUCUUCUCUGUUUCUGUUUCUCUGCGAAUCGUUAUUGUGCUUGUGCAAUUUUGAAGAAUAGAUCAUGGUCGCUACGUGGUCAUGUUGUUGUUUCUGAAGCAGGUGAUACAGAGGUGAUGAAGAUUGUUGACGCUGUGGAUGAAAGAUGA